rnacentral:rRNA from 1 species
UGUGAGCUCGAUGAGUAGGGCGGGACACGUGGUAUCCUGUCUGAAUAUGGGGGGACCAUCCUCCAAGGCUAAAUACUCCUGACUGACCGAUAGUGAACCAGUACCGUGAGGGAAAGGCGAAAAGAACCCCGGCGAGGGGAGUGAAAAAGAACCUGAAACCGUGUACGUACAAGCAGUGGGAGCACAGAGCAAUCUGUGUGACUGCGUACCUUUUGUAUAAUGGGUCAGCGACUUAUAUUCUGUAGCAAGGUUAACCGAAUAGGGGAGCCGAAGGGAAACCGAGUCUUAACUGGGCGUUAAGUUGCAGGGUAUAGACCCGAAACCCGGUGAUCUAGCCAUGGGCAGGUUGAAGGUUGGGUAACACUAACUGGAGGACCGAACCGACUAAUGUUGAAAAAUUAGCGGAUGACUUGUGGCUGGGGGUGAAAGGCCAAUCAAACCGGGAGAUAGCUGGUUCUCCCCGAAAGCUAUUUAGGUAGCGCCUCGUGAAUUCAUCUCCGGGGGUAGAGCACUGUUUCGGCAAGGGGGUCAUCCCGACUUACCAACCCGAUGCAAACUGCGAAUACCGGAGAAUGUUAUCACGGGAGACACACGGCGGGUGCUAACGUCCGUCGUGAAGAGGGAAACAACCCAGACCGCCAGCUAAGGUCCCAAAGUCAUGGUUAAGUGGGAAACGAUGUGGGAAGGCCCAGACAGCCAGGAUGUUGGCUUAGAAGCAGCCAUCAUUUAAAGAAAGCGUAAUAGCUCACUGGUCGAGUCGGCCUGCGCGGAAGAUGUAACGGGGCUAAACCAUGCACCGAAGCUGCGGCAGCGACGCUUAUGCGUUGUUGGGUAGGGGAGCGUUCUGUAAGCCUGUGAAGGUGUGCUGUGAGGCAUGCUGGAGGUAUCAGAAGUGCGAAUGCUGACAUAAGUAACGAUAAAGCGGGUGAAAAGCCCGCUCGCCGGAAGACCAAGGGUUCCUGUCCAACGUUAAUCGGGGCAGGGUGAGUCGACCCCUAAGGCGAGGCCGAAAGGCGUAGUCGAUGGGAAACAGGUUAAUAUUCCUGUACUUGGUGUUACUGCGAAGGGGGGACGGAGAAGGCUAUGUUGGCCGGGCGACGGUUGUCCCGGUUUAAGCGUGUAGGCUGGUUUUCCAGGCAAAUCCGGAAAAUCAAGGCUGAGGCGUGAUGACGAGGCACUACGGUGCUGAAGCAACAAAUGCCCUGCUUCCAGGAAAAGCCUCUAAGCAUCAGGUAACAUCAAAUCGUACCCCAAACCGACACAGGUGGUCAGGUAGAGAAUACCAAGGCGCUUGAGAGAACUCGGGUGAAGGAACUAGGCAAAAUGGUGCCGUAACUUCGGGAGAAGGCACGCUGAUAUGUAGGUGANNNNNNNNNNNNNNNNNNNNNNNNNNNNNNNNNNNNNNNNNNNNNNNNNNNNNNNNNNNNNNNNNNNNNNNNNNNNNNNNNNNNNNNNNNNNNNNNNNNGGUCCCUCGCGGAUGGAGCUGAAAUCAGUCGAAGAUACCAGCUGGCUGCAACUGUUUAUUAAAAACACAGCACUGUGCAAACACGAAAGUGGACGUAUACGGUGUGACGCCUGCCCGGUGCCGGAAGGUUAAUUGAUGGGGUUAGCGGUAACGCGAAGCUCUUGAUCGAAGCCCCGGUAAACGGCGGCCGUAACUAUAACGGUCCUAAGGUAGCGAAAUUCCUUGUCGGGUAAGUUCCGACCUGCACGAAUGGCGUAAUGAUGGCCAGGCUGUCUCCACCCGAGACUCAGUGAAAUUGAACUCGCUGUGAAGAUGCAGUGUACCCGCGGCAAGACGGAAAGACCCCGUGAACCUUUACUAUAGCUUGACACUGAACAUUGAGCCUUGAUGUGUAGGAUAGGUGGGAGGCUUAGAAGUGUGGACGCCAGUCUGCAUGGAGCCGACCUUGAAAUACCACCCUUUAAUGUUUGAUGUUCUAACGUGGACCCGUAAUCCGGGUUGCGGACAGUGUCUGGUGGGUAGUUUGACUGGGGCGGUCUCCUCCUAAAGAGUAACGGAGGAGCACGAAGGUUGGCUAAUCCUGGUCGGACAUCAGGAGGUUAGUGCAAUGGCAUAAGCCAGCUUGACUGCGAGCGUGACGGCGCGAGCAGGUGCGAAAGCAGGUCAUAGUGAUCCGGUGGUUCUGAAUGGAAGGGCCAUCGCUCAACGGAUAAAAGGUACUCCGGGGAUAACAGGCUGAUACCGCCCAAGAGUUCAUAUCGACGGCGGUGUUUGGCACCUCGAUGUCGGCUCAUCACAUCCUGGGGCUGAAGUAGGUCCCAAGGGUAUGGCUGUUCGCCAUUUAAAGUGGUACGCGAGCUGGGUUUAGAACGUCGUGAGACAGUUCGGUCCCUAUCUGCCGUGGGCGCUGGAGAACUGAGGGGGGCUGCUCCUAGUACGAGAGGACCGGAGUGGACGCAUCACUGGUGUUCGGGUUGUCAUGCCAAUGGCACUGCCCGGUAGCUAAAUGCGGAAGAGAUAAGUGCUGAAAGCAUCUAAGCACGAAACUUGCCCCGAGAUGAGUUCUCCCUGACUCCUUGAGAGUCCUGAAGGAACGUUGAAGACGACGACGUUGAUAGGCCGGGUGUGUAAGCGCAGCGAUGCGUUGAGCUAACCGGUACUAAUGAACCGUGAGGCUUAACCUUACAACGCCGAAG